AACGAACGCUGGCGGCGUGGAUAAGACAUGCAAGUCGAACGGGAACUUCAGCUGUAGCAAUACAGUUGAAGUUUUUAGUGGCGAACGGGUGCGUAACACGUGGGCAAUCUGCCGAGAAGUGGGGGAUAGCUCGCCGAAAGGCGAAUUAAUACCGCAUAUGAUCAGCUAAGACAUCUUAGCGACAUCAAAGCCGGGGCAACCUGGCGCUUUUUGAGGAGCCCCGCGGCCUAUCAGCUAGUUGGUGAGGUAACGGCUCACCAAGGCUAUGACGGGUAGCUGGUCUGAGAGGACGACCAGUCACACUGGAACUGAGACACGGUCCAGACACCUACGGGUGGCAGCAGUCGAGUAAUUUUUCU
rnacentral:rRNA from 1 species